GAUCAUGGCUCAGAUUGAACGCUGGCGGCAUGCCUUACACAUGCAAGUCGAACGGCAGCACGGGUGCUUGCACCUGGUGGCGAGUGGCGAACGGGUGAGUAAUGUAUCGGAACGUACCAUUCAGUGGGGGAUAACGUAGCGAAAGUUACGCUAAUACCGCAUAUUCUCUGAGGAGGAAAGUAGGGGAUCGCAAGACCUUACGCUGAUUGAGCGGCCGAUAUCGGAUUAGCUAGUUGGUGAGGUAAAGGCUCACCAAGGCGACGAUCCGUAGCUGGUCUGAGAGGAUGAUCAGCCACACUGGAACUGAGACACGGUCCAGACUCCUACGGGAGGCAGCAGUGGGGAAUUUUGGACAAUGGGGGCAACCCUGAUCCAGCCAUGCCGCGUGAGUGAAGAAGGCCUUCGGGUUGUAAAGCUCUUUCGCGAGGGAAGAAAGCGCAACGGUUAAUACCCGUUGUGGAUGACGGUACCUUGAUAAGAAGCACCGGCUAACUACGUG
rnacentral:rRNA from 1 species